UCAGUGAGGGAAUUAAGGAUGGCACGUUGUCCUUGUAACGGGGAUCUAGCAGGCUGGCCACCCAGUAAUCAGCACAAGUUAGAAUGUGGGCAACUCAGCAGUCGUUGCGCAGGCACUUUGGUGACUUUAGAUAACCUCGGGCUGAUCGCACGUCCCCGUGACGUUGACGACGCAUUCGGCUGUCUGCCCUAUCAACUUUCGAUGGUACUUUCUGCGCCUACCAUGGUGACCACGGCUAACAGGGAAUCCGAGUUCUAUUCCG